rnacentral:rRNA from 1 species
GGUGGAGCAUGUGGUUUAAUUCGAAGCAACGCGAAGAACCUUACCAGGUCUUGACAUCCUUUGACCACUCUAGAGAUAGAGCUUUCCCUUCGGGGACAAAGUGACAGGUGGUGCAUGGUUGUCGUCAGCUCGUGUCGUGAGAUGUUGGGUUAAGUCCCGCAACGAGCGCAACCCUUAUUACUAGUUGCCAGCAUUUAGUUGGGCACUCUAGUGAGACUGCCGGUGACAAACCGGAGGAAGGUGGGGAUGACGUCAAAUCAUCAUGCCCCUUAUGACCUGGGCUACACACGUGCUACAAUGGAUGGUACAACGAGUCGCAAGGUCGCGAGGCCAAGCUAAUCUCUUAAAGCCAUUCUCAGUUCGGAUUGUAGGCUGCAACUCGCCUACANGAAGNCNGAANCGC